CUUUGGCAGUGUCCCUGGCCUCCCUGGACUCUACUCACUAGAUGCCAGCAGAGCCCCCAUAGAUGCCAUCACCAAAAAUAUGUCCAAAUAUUGCUGCUUUUCCUUUGGGAGGCUGAGGGAGUGGGGGCAGGGGGCAACAUCAGCCUAGUUCAGAAUCACUGGCCUCACUAUAUUAAAAAAUUCAGCCACAAAUAUUUAUUGAUUAGAUAGGAUGCAGCAUGAGCUUGGGAAUUAAGAAAACAAUGGUGGAUAAUGACACAUGUGGGUCCUGUGCUCAUGGAACUUUCAGACUCAUGAGAUGCCAUUAAUCUAGUAUCCAUAAAUAUCAGUGAGGAAUUACUUAGAGGCUCAUUUUGCCUGGAGGAGGGGCAGAGGGAACCUCCCAGCAUGGUGUGGGAUGAGUUUGAAAAGAGAGGCAGAGACCAAACCAUGCUCAAGUACACUGGGAAGCCUUGAAAAAUGUUAGAGGGUUGGCACAAUGAGACAGGCAGCUGGUGGGUGGGCUAUUGAUUUAUUGGAGGAGUUGAGUGAAUAAAGGGAGAGGCUAUUGUCAAUAGCAGUGGUUCAAUAGGGAGAAAGAUCUGAUAAUGGCUUAGACUUGGAUGAAGAGGUGUUGAUUGAAAUACAGAAGCAGACAAAAGACAAAGACUUGGUGAUGGAUUGGAUUUGGAAGGCAGGUCUCUCUGUAGACCUUCUGUUGGUGAUUUCAUCGACAAGAAGGAAGAGCUCUGGAGAAGAGGAUGCUGCCUUACCCUUUGUGUCUCAGGAGUUUCCGUGUCUACUCCAGCCUAGUGGUUUCUGCACAUUCCUAUGAAAGCACAGACCUCCAUGAAAGCAGGAAUUUAGAAACUCUGUUCACCACUGGGUAGCCCCAGGUUCUACAAUGCUGCCAUUAGAAUUGGAGCUCAUCCCUCCCACCCCCAAAAGAUCCACCCUGCCAAGGAGAAGCUGAGAUCACAGGAAAGAAGGCAGCCAGCCUCGAGAACUGACAAAGAAGCAAACAGGAAAGUCUCCCUUGCGUAGAGUUGAAGAGCAGUUCUGGUUUCAGACACCCAUGCUGAGAAACUUGAGCUGCAGAAAGCCUGGUGCAGUGGAGGGGAAAGUGAGAGGCCAGAUAAGGGUGGGGCUGUAGGGGGUGUUUGGGUUGGCUCCUUUGGUGGACCUCCUGGGGUGCAGACAGAGCAGGGCUGAGCAUUGGCCACUGCUGCUUGCCUCUGUCACUCUUUCCGUUUCUGCCCCACUGUUGCCUGAGCCAAUGGCAAUUUAGAUAGAGCACAGUGAGGUCACUUCUGACCCUCAGCAGGCCCAGAGGGAGGCUUCUUUUGAGAGCCAUCUGUUAAUCCAGUUUGCUGACUCUCUUCUUACCUUUUCUGCUUCAUUUGGGAUGAGGAAACAAACACAGAGAAGACACGGGAGUCACUUCAAAUGAGAAGCAAGAUGAGAUUGAGGUUUAAAAGGUUCCGGGUCUGUGUGGGAGAGUCUCAGCAGUUUCUGCAGGUUCAAAAAAGGAACAUGUUUCCCCAGAACCAGCUGCAUUCUUGGUGGGGCUCAGUGCAAG